AGCUCUGGAGGAAGAGCGUCCCGACUGACCAUCGGGAAGGUCAUCGGUUCGACCCCGUUAUCCUCCA
rnacentral:tRNA from 1 species